rnacentral:tRNA from 1 species
GUUAAUAUAGUUUAAAAAGAAUAUCAGACUGUGAAUCUGAAGAUAGGUUAUGACAAUCCUUAUUAACC